rnacentral:miRNA from 1 species
UCCUCAGGCUUUCUUGAACUG